GCGAUGAGCUGAUUUGUGUAAGACGAGGAAUGCAAUACAUGUGAAUGUGAACACAUUAUUCUUCGCCACAAAUAUACGUAGAAAACGCCUGUAUUUAUACAGGCGUU
rnacentral:sRNA from 1 species